GACGAACGCUGGCGGCGUGCCUAACACAUGCAAGUCGAGCGGAGCCAUCCGACAGAUUCCUUCGGGUUGAAGUCGGGGAAGCUUAGCGGCGGACGGGUGAGUAACGCGUGAGUAACCUGCCUGUAAGAGGGGGAUAACACAGAGAAAUUUGUGCUAAUACCGCAUAUUGAAAGAGAAUCGCAUGGUUUUCUUUUGAAAGAUUUAUCGCUUACAGAUGGACUCGCGUCUGAUUAGCUAGUUGGUGGGGUAACGGCCCACCAAGGCGACGAUCAGUAGCCGAACUGAGAGGUUGAUCGGCCACAUUGGGACUGAGACACGGCCCAG
rnacentral:rRNA from 1 species